rnacentral:rRNA from 1 species
UACGUAGGGGGCAAGCGUUGUCCGGAUUUACUGGGCGUAAAGAGCGUGUAGGCGGCCAGGUAGGUCUGCUGUGAAAACUCGAGGCUCAACCUCGAGACGUCGGUGGAAACCGUAUGACUAGAGUCCGGAAGAGGAGAGUGGAAUUCCUGGUGUAGCGGUGAAAUGCGCAGAUAUCGUAAGGAAGACCAGUGGCGAAGGCGGGUCUCUGGACAGUUCCUGACGCUGAGGCACGAAGGUCAGGGGAGCAAACGGG